GGUCAAUGCUGUUUCUAGAUUUCUCUGGUUGUUCCAUAUUAUUGUUCGCCUUUUCUGAGAGAUCCAAACUCUUGCUUUUCUUUUCCUUGCGGUCCACGCUAGAUCUGGAUUUAUCUCUUCGAUCUGUGCUUGUUCUAGGCUCUCUCUUGUCUGCACUUUGCCUAGCUUUCUCUCUCUGAUCUGUGCUUGGACGAGGUCUACAGUCUGCGCUCGAUCUGUGCUUGUUCUAGGCUCCCUCUUGUCUGCACUUUGCCUAGCUUUCUCUCUCUGAUCUGUGCUUGGACGAGGUCUACAGUCUGCGCUGCUUCGAGGUUUAUCUAUUUGGUCCAUACAUAGUGCAGAUCCAUUUCUAAAAACAGUUGAUUUCUCAAUAGCUGAUAUGAACUUCUUCAGAUGUUUUAUGUACUCAGGAAAGACCUCCAAAUCACAAUGGUUAC
rnacentral:lncRNA from 1 species